GACGAACGCUGGCGGCGUGCUUAACACAUGCAAGUCGAACGGAAAGGCCCUGCUUUUGUGGGGUGCUCGAGUGGCGAACGGGUGAGUAACACGUGAGUAACCUGCCCUUGACUUUGGGAUAACUUCAGGAAACUGGGGCUAAUACCGGAUAGGAGCUCCUGCUGCAUGGUGGGGGUUGGAAAGUUUCGGCGGUUGGGGAUGGACUCGCGGCUUAUCAGCUUGUUGGUGGGGUAGUGGCUUACCAAGGCUUUGACGGGUAGCCGGCCUGAGAGGGUGACCGGCCACAUUGGGACUGAGAUACGGCCCAGACUCCUACGGGAGGCAACAGUGGGGAAUAUUGCGCAAUGGGCGGAAGCCUGAUGCAGCAACGCCGCGUGCGGGAUGACGGGCUUCGGGUUGUAAACCGCUUUCGCCUGUGACGAAGCGUGAGUGACGGUAAUGGGUAAAGAAGCACCGGCUAACUACGUG
rnacentral:rRNA from 1 species